AUUGCAGCCUGCAACUCGGCUGCAUGAAGCUGGAAUCGCUAGUAAUCGCGGAUCAGAAUGCCGCGGUGAAUACGUUCCCGGGUCUUGUACACACCGCCCGUCACACCAUGGGAGUUGGGAAUGCCCUAAGUCAGUGGCCCAACCGUAAGGGGGAGCUGCCGAAGGCAGAUCCGAUGACUGGGGUGAAGUCGUAACAAGGUAUC
rnacentral:rRNA from 1 species